AUUGAACGCUGGCGGCAGGCCUAACACAUGCAAGUCGAACGAGUGGCGGACGGGUGAGUAAUGUAUCUGACUCUGCCCGAUGGAGGGGGAUAGCUACUGGACACUGUAGCUAAUACCGCCUACCAUCGCCUGUGCCGAGAUGGGAUUAGCUAGUGGGUGGGGUAACGGCUCACCUAGGCGACGAUCCGUAGCUGGUCUGAGAGGAUGACCAGCCACACUGGAACUGAGACACGGUCCAGACUCCUACGGGAGGCAGCAGUGGGGAAUAUUGCACAAUGGGCGCAAGCCUGAUGCAGCCAUGCCGCGUGUAUGAAGAAGGCCUUCGGGUUGUAAAGCACUUUCAGCGGGGAGGCGUUACUCGCAGAAGAAGCACCGGCUAACUCCGUGCCAGCAGCCGCGGUAAUAC
rnacentral:rRNA from 1 species